CAGCAGCCGCGGUAAAACGAAGGGGGCUAGCGUUGCUCGGAAUGACUGGGCGUAAAGGGCACGUAGGCGGCGAUCAAAGUCAGGCGUGAAAUUCCUGGGCUCAACCUGGGGGCUGCGUUUGAUACUUGGUUGCUAGAGUGAGGAAGAGGGUCGUGGAAUUCCCAGUGUAGAGGUGAAAUUCGUAGAUAUUGGGAAGAACACCGGUGGCGAAGGCGGCGACCUGGUCCUUGACUGACGCUGAGGCGCGAAAGCGUGGGGAGCAAACAGGAUUAGAUACCCCUGUAGUCCCUGUCUCUUAUAC
rnacentral:rRNA from 1 species